AGUAGGGAAUCUUCCGCAAUGGACGAAAGUCUGACGGAGCAACGCCGCGUGAACGAAGAAGGCCUUCGGGUCGUAAAGUUCUGUUGUUAGGGAAGAACAAGUACCAGAGUAACUGCUGGUACCUUGACGGUACCUAACCAGAAAGCCACGGCUAACUACGUGCCAGCAGCCGCGGUAAUACGUAGGUGGCAAGCGUUGUCCGGAAUUAUUGGGCGUAAAGCGCGCGCAGGUGGUUCUUUAAGUCUGAUGUGAAAGCCCACGGCUCAACCGUGGAGGGUCAUUGGAAACUGGGGAACUUGAGUGCAGAAGAGGAAAGUGGAAUUCCAAGUGUAGCGGUGAAAUGCGUAGAGAUUUGGAGGAACACCAGUGGCGAAGGCGACUUUCUGGUCUGUAACUGACACUGAGGCGCGAAAGCGUGGGGAGCAAACAGGAUUAGAUACCCUGGUAGUCCACGCCGUAAACGAUGAGUGCUAAGUGUUAGAGGGUUUCCGCCCUUUAGUGCUGCAGCUAAC
rnacentral:rRNA from 1 species